rnacentral:rRNA from 1 species
UACGGGCAGCAGUGGGGAAUAUUGCACAAUGGGCGCAAGCCUGAUGCAGCCAUGCCGCGUGUAUGAAGAAGGCCUUCGGGUUGUAAAGUACUUUCAGUCGUGAGGAAGGUGUUAAGGUUAAUAACCUUAGCAAUUGACGUUAGCGACAGAAGAAGCACCGGCUAACUCCGUGCCAGCAGCCGCGGUAAUACGGAGGGUGCGAGCGUUAAUCGGAAUUACUGGGCGUAAAGGGCACGCAGGCGGUUAAUUAAGUUGGAUGUGAAAUCCCCGGGCUUAACCUGGGAAUGGCAUUCAAGACUGGUUAGCUAGAGUCUUGUAGAGGGGGUAGAAUUCCAUGUGUAGCGGUGAAAUGCGUAGAGAUGUGGAGGAAUACCGGUGGCGAAGGCGGCCCCUGGACAAAGACUGACGCUCAUGUGCGAAAGCGUGGGGAGCAAACAGGGAUUAGAUACC